GCCAGUACGUGGUCUCCAGCUUCACAGCAGCACUUCCGGUUCAUCUUUUGGAUUUAGUUUUGGAAUUUCACGUAGAAACUCAAAUUGCUAGUUAUCUGUUGUUGUGUAGCAACUUUCUUUGCCUCAAAACCCAGUGAAAAACAACCAGUUUCUUUUUACUCGUGCUCUGUGGGUUGGAUGAACCAGAGUUCUACUCCAUGAGCUGCUGACUGGGGCUGCAGUCCUGCGGGACUCACUUGGGCCAGUGAGAUUCAACAUGGUGCCCUCAUGUGGCUCCACUUCUGUGAGGAUAUGGAAGGGGGGGCUCAGAUGGCUGGCAAGGAGAGAAGGCCCCUACCUGCCCUUGUAGUCUCAGUUUUUCCCUGUGUUCUGCAGGAGGGUAGCCUAUUUCUCACACAGAAAUUCAUGGAUCUUAAAAAUCAGAGAAGUGGAAAAGGCUGAACUUUUGUAGGUAUAAGUAUCAAGCUGGUACGCUAUCACUUCCUUUGCCUACUGUAGAGGAGACCAGUCCAACCAAAUUCAAAGAGAAGGGCAACACAUUCCCUACCCUCAAAAAGAGUGAUAAUUAUUAGAGCCACCAUAACAUCGAAAAGGAGUAACCAUUUUCUCAUUGGCAUUCUGCUAAAGGAAAGAGAAUAUUUUUUACAGUGGCAUUCACAAAAGUAAAGCAAUAAAGGAAAGUUUUUGUUGUCAUUUAAAGCACGGCCAGCUGUGAAUGGACGAAUAUACAGUGAUUUUUAUUUUCUUAUUUAGUAAACAUCUUUGCUGUUUGUGAAGUUUUUCAGUGCAUCAUUUUUACAAUCAGAAAAACAAUGUCAUUUUCAUUUAAAAAUAUAUAUGCCCAUGCAUGUAUACAUUUAGGUGUAUCUCAUAUAUUCUUUUCUGAAUUGUACCUUAGUAAAGUCAGGAAUGAUAGCUGAAUUACCCAGUCAUGUGACCUCCACAGGACCUGUGUGUCAAGAGGUGGCUAUGGUGAGACCAUGUGACCAGCUGGAUAUUCAAGACACUCCUGGCACCCAUACCUGCAAUCCUUUGACUUUAUUUAAUUCAGAUGAAUACUUCUCUACUAAAUCUCUGCCAGUCAAUCUGCACAAAAGAUAUGUAUUUAUUCUACAAAUGUGUAUGCUGUGCAUGUUGUAAUAUUGGCUCCAUGUUAGUCUGGAGGUUCUUGAUUUAGGGAUUUUACCUUCAGGAGCUUGUGAGCUGGAGGAGGAGAUAUGCUGAUACCCAAAAAUAGAGCCAGUGUGAAAAACAAAGCCACAAAGGUGGAUACAUAUAUGUAUAUUGACAAGGUAUCUUCCUGAAAGAGUUAAAGACACCACAUUACAGUGGUUCAUGCUUACCCACAUUUACAGCGGCACAACUCAAACAGUGAAAUCACAGAAGCAAACUAUAUGUCCAUGAGCACAUGAAUGGGAGGCAGCUGAAGGAUGCUGGGGUGGGAUGAGUCUGAACCACACCCCACAGCCUGCACUUGGGACUUUCUUAAGACCGGCAGAUAAGAUCUCCCGGCCUGCGGCACACACCACGGCAAGGCCAGGCCGGCUCCACAGUGGCUCCAGGCGUUUCCUCGCAAGUGAUCCUGUUUUUACAAUAAAUGAGAAGGCAGCUGACAGGAAAUAACAGUUCCUAUGCCAUCCUUGGGUCAAGGCUUUGGGAAGCACCUAGGUCUCUCAUGAAUAAUCUGCUUCCUACCAAGGAAGAGGCCCUAAGGACUCCCCACCCUAGACACAAACGGCAAUCAGCUUCUCACAUGUGUAUCCGAGAGAGUAUGCAGAAACGGCUGUGUUGCAGGCUAAACUACCGCUGGAAGCUGUCACGGCCUCAGGUUGACGGUGGAUUUGGGUUCACUGGUGAGGGGCAAUUCUAGCAGCUUCCUGUCCUGAUGAUCAUCCCGGCUGUGCUGUGAAGAGUGCAGCGAUCACUUAUGCUUAGUAAUGGCCCAUUUGCGUGGGAGACGUUAGACAUGCACAAAAACCAGAAAACACAGUCCCCUGGCUUUAACGAUGUUAAAAAGCAGGUUGCAGAAUGCAUUAGUUCAGCGCUUCUCAAACUGUGGCCGGCCUCAGAAUCCCCGGGAGAGCACAGAUUCCUGGACACCCCAGGGUUUCCUUAUCAGUGGAUGUGGGCAUGCAGCCCAGUUCCCCAGCGGACUCUCAAUGUGUCCUUCAUUUCCUCCUUUUUCUUUGUCUUCUUCGAAUGUUCUUUUUGCUUUUAUAACUAUCUCGUGUUUGCUUCCCCUUCCUGUACAAUACCUUCACUACAUUAAACCUGAUCCUUGAAUUUAAAUCCUAUUUCUAGAAUUUUCCCCCCACGUGGUCCAUUUUGCAUGGAAAACACAGAAAAAAACAGUACUAAUGGUACUUUUCCAGACAGGAUUGUCUUGUUUGCUCUGCCACCAAGGAUGUGCAGUGUGUCUUGGAAUAUGUUGAUAUGGGAAACUUAUUUCUUUUUAGCUUUCAAACACAAGGAAUUUACUUAAUAUAAAAACUCUGGGAUCAGAGCAAAAUAAAAGUAGUUUCUUAGGCAUAGCAUCAUGAUUUCAUACACUCAGCAGAGAGCAGGCAAAAGCAAGUGUAUUAGUCCAUGUUGUAUUGCUGUAAUGAAAUAAUGAGGUGAAUUGACUUCUCAAUAAAGAGCCAGUAUUACCCUUUUGUAACAACUCUCUUGCAAAAACUAACAAAGGUCCUAAAGAAGUGCCUUAAUUUGUUCCCAAGGCAGUGUCCCUGAUGAGACACCUUA